rnacentral:rRNA from 1 species
CAGUAGCCGCGGUAAGACAGAGGAUGCAAGCGUUAUCCGGAAUGAUUGGGCGUAAAGCGUCUGUAGGUGGCUUUUCAAGUCCGCCGUCAAAUCCCAGGGCUCAACCCUGGACAGGCGGUGGAAACUACCAAGCUGGAGUACGGUAGGGGCAGAGGGAAUUUCCGGUGGAGCGGUGAAACGCGUUGAGAUCGGAAAGAACACCAACGGCGAGAGCACUCUGCUGGGCCGACACUGACACUGAGAGACGAAAGCUAGGGGAGCAAAUGGGAUUAGAUACCCCAGUAGUCCCUGUCUCUUAUAC